rnacentral:lncRNA from 1 species
CUUUAGUUACUGCAAUUGAAAAAAAUGCUCCUCCUCAAUUUUUGCUUUGAUAGUUAUGCUGGAUUUUUUUCAUUGUUUUUGAACUUGCAAAAUUUCUUCUUUUUUCUUUUUCUUCUUUUGAUUUUGUUCUUCAAAAACACAUGCGAUGACAUUGUCUUGUGUAGACGUUUUUUUGAAAGUGCUUUAAUAUGAACUUUUAUAUGAUUUGCAGAUAGAGGUUGUAAGGGUUUUUCUUCCAUCACAACCUCACAUAUCACAUAGGUUUCAGAAUAUGAUUUUAUUCUCAAACACCAAAUUUGAUAGUUUUCGUCUGUGAAAAUUUGUG